ACUAACUCCCCCCCAAAACGGACCACUGCAUUACAAAAUUGAAUCCUUUUCUGAACUGUUUGAGCUCUACCGAUUUGUUAAACGUGUUAGCUUCUUUUGAAUUUUAUGCUCUGGUUCCCCUCUAACUUCCUAGAGUAUCACCAUGUCGGUGGCGUUUGCACCUCACAGGCAGCGUGGAAAGGGUGAUAUAACACCCGCUGGAAUACAAAAGUUAUUAGACGAAAACAACCAGCUUAUCCAGUGUAUAAUGGACUUCCAGAGUAAAGGCAAAACAGCAGAAUGUUCACAGUAUCAACAGAUGCUUCACAGAAAUCUAGUGUACCUGGCCACGAUAGCAGACUCCAAUCAGAACAUGCAGUCUCUCCUCCCUGCUCCGCCCACUCAAAACAUGCCCAUGGGCCCUGGUGGGAUGAACCAAAGUGGAGCCCCCCCUCAGCCUCCUCAUGGUCACAAUAUGCCCUCUGAAGGAAUGGUCAGCGGUGGCCCUCCAGCCCCUCACAUGCAGAACCAGAUGAAUGGACAGAUGCCUGGGCCCAAUCACAUGCCCAUGCAAGGUCCCGGUCCCAACCAGCCCCCGAACAUACCCAGUGGCUCUAUGAAUAUGCCCCCCAGCGGCCAUGGCUCGAUGGGUGGUUACAACCACACUGUCCCUUCAUCCCAGGGCAUACCAGCCCAGAGCCAAAUGAACAUGACCCAGGGCCAGCCCAUGGGUAACUACGGGCCCCGGCCAAACAUGAACAUGCAGCCCACUCAAGGCCCCAUGAUGCAUCAGCAGCCUCCCUCUCAGCAGUAUAACAUGCCUCCUGGUGGCGGUGGACAGCACUACCAAGGACAGCAGAACCCAAUGGCUAUGAUGGGACAGGUCAAUCAAGGGAACCAUGUCAUUGGGCAGAGGCCAAUGCCUCCCUACAGACCCCCACAGCAAGGUAAUGCCCAGUAUGGCCAACAGCAGGAAGCCUACCAGCAAGGCCCCCCCCAGCAGCAGGGCUACCCCCCUCAGCAGCAGUACCCAGGGCAGCAGGGCUACCCCCCACAGCAGCAGGGUUACGGUCCUUCCCAAAGUGCCCCAGGACAGUAUCCUAACUAUCCUCAGGGGCAGGGGCAGCAGUACGGAGGGUACCGCCCCCCCCAGCCUGGACCCCCACAGGGCCAGCAACAACGCCCUUAUGGCUAUGACCAGGUGAGUAUUCCCACAACACCGGACAGUCACAGCGACUAGUUGCCACAUCGCUCUUAGUUCGUCCCGUAUUAUGUGUAUUCCAGACUUAGUUGUAUAUUUUGUUUAGUGAGACCAGAGACCAAUGUGUUAAAAGGUAAAUAUUAAAAGUAGGAUGUUUUGCAUGCUCAUCAUAUUGUGGGGUUGAACCUGUUCUCCCCAAAAGAGUGUAUGUGUUACUUUUGUCUUGUUUAUUGAGUCUUAGUUAUAUAUCAUGGCUUAUAAGGAAUGCCACUUGAGUGAAAUACGAGGUCUUUAAGAGAAUUCUUCCUUAAACUUGAUAAAGACUGCUCCAGUGUUUAAAGGGAGAUCCAUUUGUUGCCCUGUAUUUCCUGUGGUCUUAUGUGGGGACCACAGCUAUACUUUGAUAUUUGUAUCUUUGAAUAUUCAGGGGCACAUGAGGAAAUAAAGACCCGGGGAUUUGAACCCCUGACUAGCUCUGUAAGAAGCAAAGGGCCAGUAUGGAAAUUACCAGCAAUGAGAGAUGGUCCCAGCAACCCACACCGCUCUGAUCUGUCUGAGCUUUGACCUCUGGUCAACUGCAAAGCAGACUCAAAUGAUGGUUGUAGCUCGCUGAGAUUCUCUCUGACAUGAACAUACAACACUCAAAAAUACAAGAUACGUUUUCCCAUCUCUUUGCCUAUAAGAUGUAUUCUUUUUAUCAUGUACAUUGACUUGAUAAUGUCAAAGUCCGCGAUUCACCCUCCGGUCCAGUAUGUCUCACAGCAGCAAUGCCUUAAAAAAUGGAACUGCCUUAUCCUUUAGCAUUGCAGAUUGUGAAACGGACUGACAACAUUUUCGAUAUCAGAGACAAUUUAAAUGAACAGUUUCAAUCUACUGUGGUGCAUUGUUUCUCUAUCCUUUUAGCUCGAUGUUUAUAAGAAGCAAUAAUGCCAGCAGUAGGGAAAUGUGUGUGGGGGCUUGAAGAUGAAAUAAUGCACCAGAUGAACUUCCCGCUAGGCCAUGGUACGUGUCUUGAUGUAUGUGAUGAUGUAUAAAUAUAUUUUAUGCUUUUUAGAUCAAGCUAACUUUGUAUAAGACAUUGGGAACUAGUACUAAAGCUGUUGUUUAUUUCAUGAAGUGUAUGUGUCAAUGUUUUUUUAAUGAUGAUGCCAUCCAGCACAUAUAGUUUUUUUAUGUUGAGUUGUAUUCCUAUUCAAUUGGAUCUGCUACGUCAGUGACGUGUGCGCUGUAUGAAUUAUUUGUGUAAAAAUUAAACAUUAAAUGACAUGAACAGAAAAUCCGUGAAGGAAAAAUACAAACAUUAUCCCUGGAAUUAGAAAAUGCUUAAUGUCUGGGAGCACAUGGACUUGGUGGAUUCUGUGUUAAGCUGUGUAUUUAAGUCUGGAAACUGUCAAUAUCAAAUGUUGGUCAUGAACAGAUUUUUACUUUGUUCCACAUUCCCUGACAGAAUAAAUGCAACAGGCCUUUGACUAUCAUGCCCUAAUAGGUGACAUGUAGCAGAUGCCACUGCAAUUUGUCAGUCCAUUCUCUCUGAGCCUUUUCUCUUCAUGAAAGCACCACAAAUAUUUCUGACAAGUACAUUUUGUUUUGUUAGUCUUGCUAAUGCUGGAAUCCCCUUUUCCCUUUGAAUAAACGUCUGAGUUGAUGUCAUUCAAAUAGUGUUGUGUGUGAAUAAUAGAGAUUGUUACUAUCAAAUAUGUAACAUAAGAUGUGAAAAUAAUGUUCUCAAAUGGAUUCCUUAGUUUCACAGUAAAGACUGGUUGUGCAGUUUUAUAUCACUGGCUUGAUAUCUGUUUCAUGGUGCAUACUUUAUUGAUCCCAUCUGUACAGCGGUGUGAAGAAGAGGAAUUCACUGUCCUCCGAUAUUGUUUAUAUGGCUGUUUUAAUAUUUGGCAUUCUGCACCCCAUCCAAGUGGUCACAUUUGUGUCAUGGCAAUGUAUAACUGUACAUUACAAUAAAUUGGAAGAAUCUUUAAUACA